CUGCUCAGGUCUCUCCUCAAAUCCACGCAUUAAUCUUUCGCCUUUUACUAAAGAUGAGGGACACUCCAAUGAGCCUAUAGGCCAAUUUUUGAGAGGCCCUGCCCGUUUGGAGAGGGGCU
rnacentral:snRNA from 1 species